rnacentral:lncRNA from 1 species
UUUAAUCUAAAAUAGAAAGAAAUCAAAUUCUUAUAAUAAUUAAACUAUGUUUCUCUUAACUCCUUCAUGCCACCAAAUUUUGCAUCUAUUUUCUUAAAGUUCCUACAAUUACCAAAAUUUAAUUUUCAUAUAAUUAUUAAAGAAUUAAGACCUCAUAGAGAACCUUUGACUUAUUAUUAUUAUUAUUUAAAUUGAAUUAAAUAAUGAUGUAAAUGCAUCAAAUGCAUGACUUUAU